GUCCAGACUCCUACGGGAGCCAGCAGUGGGGAAUAUUGCACAAUGGGGUGAACCCUGAUGCAGCGACGCCGCGUGAGCGAUGAAGUAUUUCGGUAUGUAAAGCUCUAUCAGCAGGGAAGAAAAUGACGGUACCUGACUAAGAAGCCCCGGCUAACUACGUGCCAGCAGCCGCGGUAAUACGUAGGGGGCAAGCGUUAUCCGGAUUUACUGGGUGUAAAGGGAGCGUAGACGGCAUGGCAAGUCAGAUGUGAAAGCGAGGGGCGCAACGCGGGGACUGUACUUGAAACUGGCAGGCUGGAGUGCAGGAGUGGUAAGUGGAAUUCCUAGUGUAGCGGUGAAAUGCGUAGAUAUUAGGAUGAACACCAGUGGCGAAGGCGGCUAACUGGACUAUAACUGACGUUGAGGCUCGAAAGCGUG
rnacentral:rRNA from 1 species